rnacentral:rRNA from 1 species
GAUGAACGCUGGCGGCGUGCCUAAUACAUGCAAGUCGAGCGAACGGACGAGAAGCUUGCUUCUCUGAUGUUAGCGGCGGACGGGUGAGUAACACGUGGAUAACCUACCUAUAAGACUGGGAUAACUUCGUGAAACCGGAGCUAAUACCGGAUGAUAUUUUGAACCGCAUGGUUCAAAAGUGAAAGACGGUCUUGCUGUCACUUAUAGAUGGAUCCGCGCUGCAUUAGCUAGUUGGUAAGGUAACGGCUUACCAAGGCAACGAUGCAUAGCCGACCUGAGAGGGUGAUCGGCCACACUGGAACUGAGACACGGUCCAGACUCCUACGGGAGGCGGCAGUAGGGAAUCUUCCGCAAUGGGCGAAAGCCUGACGGAGCAACGCCGCGUGAGUGAUGAAGGUCUUCGGAUCGUAAAACUCUGUUAUUAGGGAAGAACAUAUGUGUAAGUAACUGUGCACAUCUUGACGGUACCUAAUCAGAAAGCCACGGCUAACUACGUG